rnacentral:rRNA from 1 species
GCCAGACUCCUACGGGAGGCAGCAGUGGGGAAUAUUGGGCAAUGGGCGCAAGCCUGACCCAGCAACGCCGCGUGAAGGAAGAAGGCUUUCGGGUUGUAAACUUCUUUUCUCAGGGACGAAGCAAGUGACGGUACCUGAGGAAUAAGCCACGGCUAACUACGUGCCAGCAGCCGCGGUAAUACGUAGGUGGCAAGCGUUAUCCGGAUUUACUGGGUGUAAAGGGCGUGUAGGCGGGGACGCAAGUCAGAUGUGAAAACCACGGGCUCAACCUGUGGCCUGCAUUUGAAACUGUGUUUCUUGAGUACUGGAGAGGCAGACGGAAUUCCUAGUGUAGCGGUGAAAUGCGUAGAUAUUAGGAGGAACACCAGUGGCGAAGGCGGUCUGCCGGACAGCAACUGACGCUGAGGCGCGAAAGCGUGGGGAGCAAACAGGAUUAGAUACCCCAGUA